UACGUAGGGUGCGAGCGUUGUCCGGAAUUAUUGGGCGUAAAGAGCUCGUAGGCGGUCUGUCGCGUCGAUCGUGAAAACUUGGGCUAACCCUGAGCUUGCGGUCGAUACGGGCAUGACUGGAGUUCGGCAGGGGAGACUGGAAUUCCUGGUGUAGCGGUGAAAUGCGCAGAUAUCAGGAGGAACACCGGUGGCGAAGGCAGGUCUCUGGGCCAUAACUGACGCUGAGAAGCGAAAGCAUGGGGAGCGAACAGG
rnacentral:rRNA from 1 species